CUUAUUAAACUUGAAUGACUGAUAAGACAAGUAAUUGCGCCAGAAGAAAUGCUAAUUUUAAAAUGUCUCUAAAUUCCUGAACUUCACACGUGGGAAGUCCAGUGACCUGGGGUAGCUCUUGGGAAUUAGUAAUCCGAUACAGAAUCUUUCCCCUUUGUGUCACCUGUUACAAUUUGGCUUCCCUUUGCUGGGACUGAAAAUCAUUACCAGCUGACAGCUCUGUGAAGCCUGAUGUCUGCAACCAAAGCGACGUGUAGAAUGUUGCUGACGCCGGGCAGGAAGAGGAAGUGCCUAUUUUGAUUAAUUGAAUAGCCGUGGAGUGGAAAAAGAUCUAUUUGCGAACACAGCAGACUGACUAGUACUUAGAACGAAAAGAGAGUGGAUCCAGAGGAAACCAGGAUCUCCCGGAUCACACCAUUCACACGGCAGCAGAUUUUGGAAACCACAUUGACUUUUUUGGCUGCACUCAAGUGAUAUCAACUAAGAGGACCCUAUCAGGCUUGAAGUGCAUUGCCACAGUGAAGCUACUUCCGCUUCUAUUGAAAACACCAUCUCACGAUGAAACUCAAACCCAAUUGUCACUAUGGAAACCACAGUAAAGAUAGGGAUACAGUUUCAAAACGAAAACUCUGCCUGGAACUGGGAGACAGGUUGGCUGCUCGUGUUUUCCUCAGUGAUAUCCUGGUCUGUGGGGUCAACGCUUCACUUGGUCAUAAAGGGGAGGCUUGUGUCCCCUGGACACUUUCUGCCUUCGCUGUCAGCCCUUGACUGUUUCUGAGCCCCUUCCCUAGGCCCGUAAUCAUCCGAGCCACUUGUCUCCAGCAAGUUCGAAGGUCGUGAGGUGGAUCUUCACAUUCUUGUGAAUAACCGAGCACUAAGUACAGACUCAAAGCUGCAGCAGCUGUUUUGUGUUUUUGCCUUGCAGUCUGGUGUCCUAACCGGAACCCUUUAUGUCAGGACAUUAUCCACUUGAAAAAGUUUCCAUUGAUGUCAUGGAUCAGAAACUCGAUCGCUCUUUACAAUAUACAGACAGCCCUUUUGAGGUGCUUCU